rnacentral:lncRNA from 1 species
ACCAUCCUCGCACUUUGGUCAAUUUGACUAAAGUUCGAUCUUUAUUUUCCGAAUUUUUCGGUAUAUUACAGCAGCACUCACCUUCGCUAAUUACCAAUAGCUAGGAUUUCCAAGCAAUUUGAUUUCCGACGCCGAUUCAUCUCGACCCAAGCCUAACAAACCAAAUUCUGCAAAUCUCUCAAUCAGACGUCGUAACCUUGUCGUAAUCCAAAACAAA